GAAAAACCGUUGAGAAAGAGGAGUAGAUUAUCUUACAACAUCCAAGAGAGCGGCAGGUGGUGCGAUUGCCGUAUGAAGGAGAUAGUUGAAUGGACUUUCGAGGGCAGCCUGAAAUCAGUUGAGAGUAUGGUGUGUCGGGAACCGAACCCGUUAUCAAUCAGGAGUGUAUGUUAGUACAUGAGAAAAGUGGACGAUUCGUCAAUUUGAGUGGUACCGCGAUAAUAAGAGUAAAUUAUUACCGCCUCAAAC
rnacentral:ncRNA from 1 species